rnacentral:sRNA from 1 species
AAAGUAAAGUGUUUCCGGCUCCGGUGUCAUGGCCGGCUCCUACCCUGAAGGUGCACCUGCAGUCCUCGCCGAUAAGAGGCAGCAGUUCGGAAGGCGGUUCCUGAGCGAUCCCGCGCGCGUCUUCCACCACAAUGCCUGGUAAUCACUCUGCCCCUUCGCCCGGCCUGUCGCUGGCCCUCUGUCCCGCCGCCUCGGAGCACUCCGAAAAGCCCCUGACCGCCGGCCACGAGUCAAGCUGCCCUACCCGAGGCACUCUCCAAGGGGAGAGAAGCUCCUAGGCCAGCGACUCACCCUGCCCGCAGCCAGGACGUGAGGCCCCUAAGCUGCCCGUUUGAUUUUCUCAGGGACAAUGUGGAGUGGUCGGAAGAGCAAGCCGCGGCGGCGGAGAGAAAAGUCCAGGAGAACAGUAUCCAGCGGGUGUGCCAGGAGAAACAAGUUGAUUAUGAGAUCAAUGCCCACAAAUACUGGAAUGACUUCUACAAAAUCCACGAAAAUGGGUUUUUCAAGGAUAGACAUUGGCUUUUUACCGAAUUCCCUGAGCUGGCACCUAGCCAAAAUCAAAAUCAUUUGAAGGAUUCGUUCUUGGAGAACAAGAGUGAAGUAUCUGAAUGUAGAAACAAUGAGGAUGGACCUGGUUUAAUAAUGGAAGAACAGCACAAGUGUUCUUCGAAGAGCCUUGAAUAUAAAACACAGACUCCUAUGGAGGAGAAUGUAACUCAGAAAAUUAGUGACCUGGAAAUUUGUGCUGAUGAGUUUCCUGGAUCCUCAGCCACCUACCGAAUACUGGAGGUUGGCUGUGGUGUGGGAAACACAGUCUUUCCAAUUUUACAAACGAACAAUGACCCAGGACUCUUUGUUUAUUGCUGUGAUUUUUCUUCCACAGCUAUAGAACUGGUCCAGACAAAUUCAGAAUAUGAUCCUUCUCGGUGUUUUGCCUUUGUUCACGACCUGUGUGAUGAAGAGAAGAGUUACCCAGUGCCCAAGGGCAGUCUUGAUAUUAUCAUUCUCAUAUUUGUUCUUUCAGCAAUUGUUCCAGACAAGAUGCAGGAGGCUAUCAACAGGCUGAGCAGGCUUCUGAAACCUGGCGGGAUGAUGCUUCUGCGAGAUUACGGCCGCUAUGACAUGGCUCAGCUUCGGUUUAAAAAAGGUCAGUGUCUAUCUGGAAAUUUCUACGUGAGAGGUGAUGGAACCAGAGUUUACUUCUUCACACAAGAGGAACUGGACACGCUUUUCACCACUGCUGGACUGGAAAAAGUUCAGAACCUGGUGGAUCGCCGACUGCAGGUGAACCGAGGGAAGCAACUGACAAUGUACCGGGUUUGGAUUCAGUGCAAAUACUGCAAGCCCCUUCUGUCCAGCACCAGCUGAGAGGCACCUGCUACCAACACGAUGCAAGCCCAUUGUGUUUCCGGGCUUUUUUAAAAAAAAAUUUGUAGCACUGGGCGUGGUGCAUGCCUGUAAUCCCAGCCACUCAGGAGGCUGAGGCGGGGAGGAUCCAUUGAGCCCAGCAGUCCAGCCUGGACAAAAUAGUGAGAGACCCUGUAUCUGAAAGU